rnacentral:rRNA from 1 species
CAGCCGCCACGGUAAUACGAAGGGGGCUAGCGUUGUCCGGAUUUACUGGGUGUAAAGGGCGCGUAGGCGGACUGAUAAGUCAGGGGUGAAAUCCCAAGGCUCAACCUUGGAACUGCCUUUGAUACUGUUUGUCUUGAGUUCGAGAGAGGUAAGUGGAACUGCGAGUGUAGAGGUGAAAUUCGUAGAUAUUCGCAAGAACACCAGUGGCGAAGGCGGCUUACUGGCUCGAAACUGACGCUGAGGCGCGAAAGCGUGGGGAGCAAACAGGAUUAGAUACCCCCGUAGUCCCUGUCUCUUAUAC